GACGAACGCUGGCGGCGUGCUUAACACAUGCAAGUCGAACGGAGAGGCCCUGCUUUUGUGGGGUGCUCGAGUGGCGAACGGGUGAGUAACACGUGAGUAACCUGCCCUCGACUUUGGGAUAACUUCAGGAAACUGGGGCUAAUACCGGAUAGGUGCUCCUGCUGCAUGGUGGGGGUUGGAAAGUUUCGGCGGUUGGGGAUGGCCUGGCGGCUUAUCAGCUUGUUGGUGGGGUAGUGGCUUACCAAGGCUGUGACGGGUAGCCGGCCUGAGAGGGUGACCGGCGACAUUGGGACUGAGGGACGGCCCAGACGCCUACGGGAGGCAGCAGGGGGGAAUAUUGCACAAUGGGCGGAAGCCUGAUGCAGCAACGCCGCGUGCGGGAUGACGGCCUGCGGGGUGUAAACCGCUUUCGCCUGUGACGAAGCGUGAGUGACGGUAAUGGGUAAAGAAGCACCGGCUAACUACGUG
rnacentral:rRNA from 1 species